GCCGAGAACGCAUUUUGCGCAAAGCAUGCUGGGUAGCAGAGUGAACUGUCCUGGGGACGAGAGUUUGUGGCGCGGGCGGACGCUGCCAGAUUUGGUCGGCGAGAGUCGCCAUAUUUGCAUGACAGUCGUCGAUUUUUGAGGUGUGGCCAGAGACGUUCAGACUUCUUGUACUGACUUGAUGGAAGGGAGCAGUGUUUGAAAUUCAGAAAUGGAUGAUUGUGACUCGUCAUCGGAUGAUGAACCACUGGCCAGGUUGCUACCACAACACUCCCCAUCAACAACCCCAACGAAGAAAAUUGGGACAUGCAAAGAAGCGGCAUCUGAGGACAGCCUGCCAGUGGCCAGCUUGCUACCGGAGCAGUCACCACCACUAGCAACUAC